AGUGAACGCUGGCGGUAGGCCUAACACAUGCAAGUCGAACGGCAGCACAGUAAGAGCUUGCUCUUACGGGUGGCGAGUGGCGGACGGGUGAGGAAUACAUCGGAAUCUACUUUUUCGUGGGGGAUAACGUAGGGAAACUUACGCUAAUACCGCAUACGACCUACGGGUGAAAGCAGGGGAUCUUCGGACCUUGCGCGAUUGAAUGAGCCGAUGUCGGAUUAGCUAGUUGGCGGGGUAAAGGCCCACCAAGGCGACGAUCCGUAGCUGGUCUGAGGGGAUGAGCAGCCACACUGGAACUGAGACACGGUCCAGACUCCUACGGGAGGCAGCAGUGGGGAAUAUUGGACAAUGGGCGCAAGCCUGAUCCAGCCAUACCGCGUGGGUGAAGAAGGCCUUCGGGUUGUAAAGCCCUUUUGUUGGGAAAGAAAAGCAGCAGGUUAAUACCCCGCUGUUCUGACGGUACCCAAAGAAUAAGCACCGGCUAACUUCGUG
rnacentral:rRNA from 1 species